CAAUGGAGCUAAUGAAAGGUGGUACACCUGUUCCCAUGCCGAACACAGAAGUUAAGCUUCAACGCGCCGAAAGUAGUUGGGGGAUCGCUCCCUGCGAGGAUAGGGCAUUGC
rnacentral:rRNA from 1 species